AGUGAACGCUGGCGGUAGGCCUAACACAUGCAAGUCGAACGGCAGCACAGUAAGAGCUUGCUCUUACGGGUGGCGAGUGGCGGACGGGUGAGGAAUACAUCGGAAUCUACUUUUUCGUGGGGGAUAACGUAGGGAAACUUACGCUAAUACCGCAUACGACCUACGGGUGAAAGCAGGGGAUCUUCGGACCUUGCGCGAUUGAAUGAGCCGAUGUCGGAUUAGCUAGUUGGCCGGGUAAAGGCCCACCAAGGCGACGAUCCGUAGCUGGUCUGAGAGGAUGAUCGGCCACACUGGAACUUAGACACGGUCCAGACGCCUACGGGAGGCAGCAGUGGGGAAUAUUGGGCAAUGGGCGCAAGCCUGAUCCAGCCAUACCGCGUGGGUGAAGAAGGCCUUCGGGUUGUAAAGCCCUUUUGUUGGGAAAGAAAAGCAGCAGGUUAAUACCCCGCUGUUCUGACGGUACCCAAAGAAUAAGCACCGGCUAACUUCGUG
rnacentral:rRNA from 1 species